rnacentral:rRNA from 1 species
GAACGAAGAGCGACGGAAGCUUGCUUCUAUCAAUCUUAGUGGCGAACGGGUGAGUAACGCGUAAUCAACCGCCCUUCAGAGGGGGACAACAGUUGGAAACGACUGCUAAUACCGCAUACGAUCUAAUCUCGGCAUCGAGGAUGGAUGAAAGGUGGCCUCUACAUGUAAGCUAUCACUGAAGGAGGGGAUUGCGUCUGAUUAGCUAGUUGGAGGGGUAACGGCCCACCAAGGCGAUGAUCAGUAGCCGGUUGAGAGGAUGAACGGCCACAUUGGGAUGAGACACGGCCCAGACUCCUACGGGAGGCAGCAGUGGGGAAUCUUCCGCAAUGGACGAAAGUCUGACGGAGCAACGCCGCGUGAGUGAUGACGGCCUUCGGGUUGUAAAAGCUCUGUUAAUCGGGACGAAAGGCCUUUCUUGGCGAAAUAAGUGAGAAAGGA